UAAAAGGGGUAGGCAGUUCAUUUUGUUAAUUAGUCAGAUCCGAAAGGGAGCAGCUAGCACAAUUAUGAACUGGGUUACCCCUUUAAUCU
rnacentral:SRP_RNA from 1 species